ACCCAUUCUAUGAGCUCAGAAAAAUGAUGUCAUCUCUUGUAUCCAUUUUAUUAUCUCCCAAUUUCUAUUCUCAUUCUUUCAUAUCCAGAGGUACAUGUCAUCUGAAGCCUUGGGCCCUCCGCAUCAUAAAUCAGGAACAAAUCCAGGAGGGAGAAAGAGCAAAGGAGACAAGGACCUCGUUAAGAACACUAAGUUUCUGUGAGUUACUCUCUGGAACAAAAGUACUUUUCCCUUUUAUUUUUUUAAAGUGCUGUAAUUGCUAA
rnacentral:lncRNA from 1 species